CGUUGCAUCAUUUCAUUUGGGGUCGAGUUUCUAUGUGAUAUGAGCAGGCUUCGGGCUGAGAGUGAGCUGUGUUCAUCUUCCUUUUUUUCAUUUGAUCUGCUGCACACCAUCCUAUUUGGAGACUGCUGUGCUGCACCUAUCUAAACCACCAUUCCCUAUUUUAUGGACGGAAAGCUGCAAGUUUACAAUCUUCUCUUGUAAUAAGGCCCAAGUCCCCUGGACCCUCAUGGACCCAGCAGGCAGAAGUCUGGAUCUUCAGACUGGGUUUUACCCAGUGAAAUGUCAUUGUUGGAGACCACUAUGUGCUCCUCACCUCACUGAGCGAUUAUUCUUCAUUCGUCUUGGACCUACUGCUACUGCUUGUGAAGGAAAGCUGGUUCCUGGUUAGAUCACCAUGGAGUCCUUAAACAUUCGCCUGCAGUGUGAAAGCACUUUUCUAGAUGGUUCAGAUAUUUGGACCAAUUACAGGAAGCAGAGGCAGAAAACAAACCAGAGGAAGAAAGGAUUGGUGCUGUACUGAAAUCUGACUCCCCUCGGCGUGCAGGCGCGUCACGCAACAUUAUAGGACACAAGCACUUACACUGGGAUAUAAUUUAAUAACUGUAACAAUAUACUAAGUCUUACUUAUACACAGAAAUAAAAUAAAUCUAAUGAGAAUUUGUUACACUCAUUCUGCUGCGGCAGAUUUAUCACAUCACAGCAACUCGCCGAACACCUAUCAUUCUAUAAACCAAUUAAUAUAGAGUAUAGAGAGACGCAGCCCACGUAGCUGAUGAUGAGAGGACAUAGUAAAGUUCUUUUGUCCGCUUACUAAACUGCAGUGUGAAAUGAAACCUAACCGGACCAAAAGGUACAGUGUAUCAAACACAUGAACGUUAGUUCAGACCAUGGUCCGGACUUUCAGGUAUGAAAGCACCCUUAGUUUCAUUCAAUCACAGGACAGCUACUAAUCUUAUAAAAUAUUGGUCCUUCAUAAUAGAAAUGUACUAUUGAGAGUUGUACAAGUGUCUGUGUUGCUUUUAAGGUGAGGAAACUGUCCACUGAUCAAGGAUUAUAAAAUGAUUAACACAAUCUGCAUUUUUAAAAAGAUAAGUUUGAUUCUCUAAAUGUACAGCUGAAAUGCACUGAUUGUCUUUGUAAAGAUAAUAACAAAGCAGUAUGUCUCAUGUUUAAUGUUUUAAUGACAAUAAAAACUAUCACCC